UGGGGAAUCUUCCGCAAUGGACGAAAGUCUGACGGAGCAACGCCGCGUGUAUGAUGAAGGUCUUCGGAUUGUAAAGUACUGUCAUUGGGGAAGAACGGUUUUCUUGAGAAUAUUGAGAAGACAUGACGGUACCCAAGGAGGAAACCCCGGCUAACUACGUGCCAGCAGCCGCGGUAAUACGUAGGGGGCAAGCGUUGUCCGGAAUUAUUGGGCGUAAAGGGCGCGUAGGCGGGCCUUUAAGUCCGGUGUGAAAGAUCAGGGCUCAACCCUGAGAGUGCAUCGGAAACUGGAGGCCUUGAGGACAGGAGAGGAAAGUGGAAUUCCACGUGUAGCGGUGAAAUGCGUAGAUAUGUGGAGGAACACCAGUGGCGAAAGGCGACUUUCUGGACUGUAACUGACGCUGAGGCGCGAAAGCGUGGGGGAGCAAACAGGAUUAGAUACCCUGGUAGUCCACGCCGUAAAACGAUGAGUGCUAGGUGUAGAGGGUAUCGACCCCCUUCUGUGCCGCAGUU
rnacentral:rRNA from 1 species